AAAUUAGACAGUCGCGUAUAGCAAGGUCGAAAGACAGCGUACGAGGAAAGUCCGGGCUCCAUAGAGCAAUGAUGCUGGAUAACGUCCAGUGAGGGUAACCUUAAGGAAAGUGCAACAGAAAAUAACCGCCCUAUAUGGGUAAGGGUGAAAAGGUGAGGUAAGAGCUUACCGCAAAUAUGGUGACAUAUUUGGUCAAUGUAAACCCCAUCUGGAGCAACACCGAGAUUGAGGGUUAAGACUGCUCGUCGUCCUCUUAUUGGUGGCUUAAGCCAUAUGGUAACAUAUGGAAUAGAUAAAUGACUGUCCUAGACAGAACCCGGCUUACAGAUUUACUUA
rnacentral:RNase_P_RNA from 1 species